ensembl:lncRNA
UGUAACAGUGUUUAUGUGGUAUUAUUCCACUUGCCACAAAUGUCAGUGUAAUGGGGAAACAGCGCCCCCCCCUCUCGGUGUGGCUGGUUAGGUGAGGCUGGCUGCAGUAAUCGCUGCCAGUCUGCCGUAGCCAUACGAGAGGUGAGUUGUAUUGUUCCGCACACAAUAUAGCUAAGUAGUACAGACACAUAAAACAUGUUUGAUUAGCUGACGAGCACCGAGUGUAAUAAGUGCUUAGUGGACACAUGUCUAACAUCAGUUUUAUGUACUUUUCAUUUGUUUAUUAAUGUGUGAAACUGUAUGCUAAAGCGGAAUGCUAAUGAGAUGUUCUGCCGUAGUGUGCUGUGCGGAGUGGUGUAUGGCGAGCCUGUGCACUGAUAAUACACCGUUGUUUCCAUUCAGGUGACUGAGCAAUGGAGAAGCUGGAUGAUGUAACAGUAUCUGUCCUUAAAGUCCAGCUUUGUCCAGCCACUGGUAGGAUUUCUGGAUAUCAGCCACCUCCUCUAUCUGCCGGUGGUACAUACCGUGCAGGGUCCUGUCCUUCUAUGAUGGUUCCUCGUCUCCCUCCUCUUUCUUGGGUUUCUGCUGCCUGAGGUAUUCACUGAGCACUUGGUCAGUUGGGGCCAUCUUCCCAAUGUAUUCUUGGAUGAAUAGGAUGAGGGACCUAUGGAUUCUUCGCUGCAAGCAUUGACGAGCGCAUGCUUUUAACAUUGACCCGUGAUGAUCUGAGGGACCUUUUUUCUGGGCCUGAGCACUUUCUCAGAAGAAAACAUGUGUGGUCAAUAAUUCAUCCUGAGGAAGACCAUCCGCUACCACAGAAACCUGAAACAACUUCUUCACCCAGGGUAGUUGCAACAGGCCCUCCAACUGCUGAUGCUAAUGUAAGCCAGCUGAAAACCUUGCAGCUCCCCAGUCCUCCGGAAUAUGUUCUGUACACCGACAGUGAGUUGGAGCAAUGCCGAAAGAGUUACCUGGAGUUGGCCUGCUCCGGCAGGGAACAGGCAUGCGUCAUGUCAAAAGAACUGAGAUGCAGAUUGGUGAGAAAUACAAUCACAAGUAUGGUGUCCCUUUUGAGAGCAAGCCAAGGCCAAAUGGAGCGAUACCCCUCUAAGACCGAAAUCACUGCAAUGGCUAAAAAAGUUGUGGAAUAUUAUCCUAUGCUGCAGGAUAAUGAUGCAAGCGUAAAACACGAGAGCAUUAAUGCCAAGUUACAAAAAAGGCUGCAAAAUAUGAAAACCCCAGUAAAAAGGCAAGGACCAACACCGGAGAGGGGACGGCCCAAGAGAAGGCUCACUGACCUCUACCCAAGGGAUGAAGAAGCUGAUGAUGAAGAUGCUGAUCGCAGUUCUUCCAGUGGUGCAUCUACUCUGUUAUCACCUGUCAGAAAUUCUGACAAUGCCUCCACUUCAUCUGACAAGGAUAGUCGGCAAAUACAAGCAAGACAUUACAAAACAUUACAAGAAAUGUGUAAGAAGGCAAAACCAAACCAAGAAGAUGUGUCCCAGCUAUUAGACCUCGAGUUUGAAGCCAGAAGAUCCUUCAUUGACUCAGACACCAUGAAAGAGGAGAACAGAGCUUGCCUCAUCUUGGAUGCAUAUCCAUGCUUUAAAGAAUUGCAUCAUGCGUUGGGUGAGCUUCGCAGAAUUUUGGAUCCCCACAACAACAAGUUCAUCAGUCAAGUAAAACUGAGAUGGGAAGAAUUCUGCUCCAGGGUAGAGUUCUACGGUGUGUCAAAGAAGGCAAUGAAUCCACCAAUGACCAUGGACAAAACUGAAGCCCACCUUGCACUGAUGAAGGCUCUUCCAACCCUCUUUCCCACACCUGCCCAUCCACCAAAGAAGAUGGGGAAUGCUUCUGAAGCAUUUCUACAUGUCCUGAAGCCUACAGAAGAUCCAGAUGCUGUCCUCCAGAAACGAAGCUUGUCAUGUCCAGUAGUGAUGUUCGAUGGCUGCAAGUGUGUCAUUGCUGUUGGUAAUUUACCAGUUACAACAUUUGACAAAGAAAAAAUUGGUGAGGCUAUGAUAUAUGUGAUGGCAUACUUUUAUGCACUCCAUCUGACUUACCACAAAUGCGUGGCAACCCUGCUGUCUGUCAUUCAGACAGAAGUUCUCCAGGAUGCCAUUCAUGAGCAUGACACUACAUCAUCUUACAGAAAAGCCCUGGCAGAAUGGCAUGCAUUUAUUGGAAAGUAGUGUGUAAAUUUCAGAUAAGAUUAGGAGAGGGCACUUCUGUUUUGUUUUUGUUUGUUUUUUCAAUCUGGGUCUUAUUUCUAAAAUGGAAAAUGUUCAUUUACUCACCCAGACAAGUUUUGUGGUAUUUGGUGUCAUUCGGAAGAAAUUUGAAUCUUUGUGGUCUUCCUAUGUCACUCGUCAAUUUUAAUGGGGCAAUGGCGAAACCUCUAAGGCUGUUGAAAUGUUGAAACCACUUAAACAAACUCAUAAUGUUGGACCUGUACUGUUCAAUUGUAUCUUUAUUAUCUGCAGGUUAUUGUUAAAGUGGACAAAUAAAGAUGGACACUUUUA